GACGAACGCUGGCGGCGUGCUUAACACAUGCAAGUCGAACGGAAAGGCCCUUCGGGGUACUCGAGUGGCGAACGGGUGAGUAACACGUGGGUGAUCUGCCCUGCACUUUGGGAUAAGCCUGGGAAACUGGGGCUAAUACCGAAUAGGACCACGCGCUGCAUGGUGUGUGGUGGAAAGCUUUUGCGGGGUGGGAUGGGCCCGCGGCCGAUCAGCUUGUUGGUGGGGGAAUGGCCUACCAAGGCGACGACGGGUAGCCGCUCUGAGAGGGUGACAGGCCACACUGGGCCUGGGGAGCGACCAGGACUCAUUCGGGGGGCAGGGGUGGGGACUAUUGCCAAAUGGGCGCAAGCCUGAUGCAGCGACGCCGGGUGGGGGAGGACGGCCUCGGGUUGUAAACCUCUUUCAAUAGGGACGAAGCGCAAGUGACGGUACCUAAAGAAGAAGCACCGGCCAACUACGUG
rnacentral:rRNA from 1 species